GCCGGUUAAAGAAGCGUUUCCUGUUUACAACGAAUCGAAUAUGAUUUGUCACCAGCUUCCUAAUAGAAGUGAUGAGUUGCUGAUUAACUCACUGAAUGCUACUGUUGACACUAAUCAACAAGCUCAAUCGUUCGUUGAAGCGUCGUUGAAUCAACGUCUCUCCAGUCUGUGCAACCUCCAUUUGGGAGGAUCCCC